AAUCCAACAUAUUUAAAAUACAAAAGUAGAGAUAACCAUUAGUACAUAUUUUAAAGGUAUUGGUGGGUUACUUUCGCCUGCAAAGCCUAGCCCUGAAAUGCCUGAGGACUUUCCAAAGGGCCAGAAUCCAGUUAUCCCAACGAAUGGUAGGAGCCCAAAUGCUAUCUGCCUGAGAAGGUCUGAGGUAAUAGGUUAUUCAUCUAUCUGUGAUAUCACUGUUGUCUGCUGUGGUUGUGCUAUGGGCAAAUAUGAAGCAUGAUCUUGGUCACACUAGUAUUUAAUUUAAAUGGGGAAAGAGAGAUGGUCUCCCAAAGGAACUGAUUUUGCCCUGAUCCCCUCUAUGGUUUUAAAUUCUUACAUUCACAGCCUGUAGAGAAGGAAGAAACUUGGUGUUCAUUCUAACUGUCUCAUGUUACAAAGCAGCAAAUUGAGGCUUGGAGGCAUGAGGUCAUUAAGAUCACCCAGUUAUUUAGUUGGCUGUUUGAACUGGGCACUUUCAGAAAGGGUGCAGAAAAGUAGAAGUAUCUGAGUGCUACUUAGGGACGAUAACAAACAGCAUUGACUGACUGGUUGGUGGUGGGCUGACAGACUGGGCACUGGGGGAGAGGGAAGAUUCAAAGAUAGUGUUUGAGUCUUUAGUUUUAGGACUCGUACAUAUGGGAGGCAUUCAUUUUCAAGGAGGGCAUAGGAGAAAAAGUGUACGUGCAGAGAAAGAUUAUGAAUUCAGUCUGGGAAUGUUGUAUUUGGGUGCCUUUGUAAAGUCCCCAAAAGAAUGUAUUACAAUAAAUAUAUGCAGGAGGAAAACCAUGUGGCUAUUGAGUUAUGGAAGUUUAGUAAAGUCAUUAUUUCCAAGAAAAAGUUAUCAUUCAGAGCCACAGUAAGGCCAAGUAAGACAAAGACAAAAAGAUGUCUGUUAGGUUUAGCUAUAAGAAAGUUGUUGGUGACUUUCCUCUCUGAUAUGUUGCUUCAGAAAUCAGGGAAGGUCCAUCCUCACUGGCAGGUUGUUGCAAUAUGUGUGCUGUUAAUUGUAGAUGGAGGAGGAGCAUCCCCACCUCAGGUAGGAAAACAAGCGAAUUUCAAGGCCUUUUUAAUUUACCGAGCAGUUUUAGAGAACAGUGGGUUUCAAGUAAUGAGGACUUACUGUACACUGGGUAACCGUCUGUUAUGCCUAGUGAACAGGACUCUGGGGAGGGGAGGAGUGGGCUUGAAGCGUGCUCUUGAAAGUUCAUAGUCAGAAAUUUGGGGGUCUGUCUUUACUGACUGCCAAGGAAACUCAAAGAACUGUGUCUGCUUAAAGCAAAAUGCCGUCAUUCUCCUCCCCCUGACCCUAGUCUGCUGAGAACCCUGAGCUUGUGGUGGCAUUCAUGGGGCUGAUGAUGGCUGCUUAGUCUAGGCUAAACAGACCUUAGGGUACAGUUAUGACUUUGCCAUAAACGUGAAGUGACUGGGAGAGUCCUCAUACAAACAAAUAAAAUCUCAGAUCUUCCACUGUCAAUCUCUUUGCAGUUUGCUUUAUUCAUAACUGUGUCCAUGUGUUGUAGCUACAACCCAUUUCAUAAACACAGCCACCUUAUUGCUUACUAAUAAAGACACUUCUCAUUUUAAAGCACCUUAGCAUAUCAAACUUGGCAAGAAUUAAAUGGCCAAAAGAGGUUUUAUUUUAUGAUAUGUUGUUCUUAUGUUUGUCUUAAAGGGAUUUUUGAGAUGGCCUUGACCUGAUUUCUGGGUCAAGUGUAAAACCAGUGUCCAAGUGGGAAGCCCAGAUGUCUACCAUCCAUCUCCUCGACCCUGAGCAAAAAUUCUGAAUCUUUUCCCUCUUCUGCUGGGGAUACAGAGAUAAACUGCAUGAUUUCUGCCUCCAACAGCUAACAAUGUAAUGGGAAAAGAGUCACCAAAAGAGCUAACUGUAACACAGGUGAUAAGGACCACUCAGUUUGGGGACUAAGUGCCAGGAUGCCAUCUUGGGACCACAAGACAAGUGGACUGGGAAAGCAUCAACACUCAGAAAGCAGAACCAAGGGCUGCUGAGCCAGAAGCUCAAUCUACUCCUGUACUGUGGAGAAAUAUAAGCCAAGGAAUUAAACUUUUUGCUGAAGCCAGAAGUCAUCUGGUUUUCUAUCAUCUGUAAGAGAAAGUGUCCCAUGUGACACAGUGAUUCAUUUGCACAUCUCUCCCGGGUAUUGCAACCAUCUCCUCUUUUGCCCGUCACCUUACAAACCAGAAAUCUGGGUAUGCCUUUCUUCUGCUUAUGAAAACCUUAGCUUCUCACUGCCCUCAGUACAAAGUUCAAGUUCAGCUUCUUAAAUUGUUAUUUAAGGUCUUCCACAAUUGAGUCCCCUUCUAUUUUUUAGCCUAAUUUUUUGCUGCUUUUGUCCUUAAGCACUUACCUUAUGCUUUAUUGUGACCAGACAUGUACUAUUACAUAUGUUGUAGGUUCACUCAUGUUCCCUUUGGCUGCAUGGAACUUCCUCUACCUACACCCUUUCAGACUUUCUAAGAAUAGGAUCUUGAGAACAUAAGGUGUUCAUUAUUUUUAAAUGUUAAACCUCAUGCAUCAACAUCAUUCCUGCUGAUUCAAGGGCUGUUUUUGAGUGUCAGCAGAUAUUUGAUAAAGACUGCAUUUAAACAUGAAAACUCUUAUUUCAUAGGGAAUCUAAUAGUGUUAUACUACCAAAAUCUCAGAAAGCAAAAAGCUUGACAAAGUGCAACUUUAAAUUAUUAGAAAAAUGAAUAAGCAAGAAAUGAAAGCAUAGGUCUGCAUCAAAACAUAUGCACAGGUGUUCAUCAUAGCUUUAUUGAUAAUAGCCAAAAAGUAGAUAUACCCAAAUGUUCAUCAAAUGAUUCAUAUCUAAACAAAAUAUGAUCUCUCCAUACAAUGGGAUAUUUUAUUUGUCAUAAAAAAAUGAAGUAGUGAUCUAUGCUAUAACAGAAACAAAUCUUGAAAACAUGCUAAAUGAAAGAAGCCAGAUACAAAAGCCUACAUAUAAUAUGAUUCCAUUUGUAGGAAAUGUUCUGAAUUGGCAAAUCUGCAAAGAAAAUAGAUUAGUGAUAUCUUAAGGCUUGGGGGGGCAUAAGAAGAUGGAAAGGUGAAGGCUAAAGGGAACAUAAUUUCUUUGAGUUUUGAAAUUUUUUUAAAAUUGAUUGUGGUGAUGCGUGCAUAACAUUCUGAAUAUACUAGAAGCCAUUGAAUUGUACACUUUUAAUGGGUGAAUUGUAUGGUAUGUGAAUUGUGUCUCAAUUAAAUGCUUUUUAAAAGAAA